rnacentral:rRNA from 1 species
AGAGUUUGAUCCUGGCUCAGGAUGAACGCUGGCGGCGUGCUUAACACAUGCAAGUCGAGCGAAGCGAUUUAAAUGAGACUUCGGUGGAUUUUAAAUUGACUGAGCGGCGGACGGGUGAGUAACGCGUGGAUAACCUGCCUCACACAGGGGGAUAACAGUUAGAAAUGACUGCUAAUACCGCAUAAGCGCACGGUACCGCAUGGUACAGUGUGAAAAACUCCGGUGGUGUGAGAUGGAUCCGCGUCUGAUUAGGUAGUUGGUGAGGUAACGGCCCACCAAGCCGACGAUCAGUAGCCGACCUGAGAGGGUGACCGGCCACAUUGGGACUGAGACACGGCCCAAACUCCUACGGGAGGCAGCAGUGGGGAAUAUUGCACAAUGGGCGAAAGCCUGAUGCAGCAACGCCGCGUGAGUGAAGAAGUAUCUCGGUAUGUAAAGCUCUAUCAGCAGGGAAGAAAAUGACGGUACCUGACUAAGAAGCCCCGGCUAACUACGUGCCAGCAGCCGCGGUAAUACGUAGGGGGCAAGCGUUAUCCGGAUUUACUGGGUGUAAAGGGAGCGCAGACGGCACUGCAAGUCUGAAGUGAAAGCCCGGGGCUCAACCCCGGGACUGCUUUGGAAACUGUAGAGCUAGAGUGCUGGAGAGGCAAGCGGAAUUCCUAGUGUAGCGGUGAAAUGCGUAGAUAUUAGGAAGAACACCAGUGGCGAAGGCGGCUUACUGGACGGUAACUGACGUUGAGGCUCGAAAGCGUGGGGAGCAAACAGGAUUAGAUACCCUGGUAGUCCACGCC